rnacentral:rRNA from 1 species
GGGGAAUUUUCCGCAAUGGGCGAAAGCCUGACGGAGCAAUACCGCGUGAGGGAGGAAGGCUCUUGGGUUGUAAACCUCUUUUCUUAGGGAAGAAAAAUGACGGUACCUAAGGAAUAAGCAUCGGCUAACUCCGUGCCAGCAGCCGCGGUAAUACGGAGGAUGCAAGCGUUAUCCGGAAUGAUUGGGCGUAAAGCGUCCGCAGGUGGUAAUGCAAGUCUGCUGUUAAAGAGUGUAGCUUAACUACAUAAAGGCGGUGGAAACUGCAUCACUAGAGUACGUUCAGGGCAGAGGGAAUUCCUGGUGUAGCGGUGAAAUGCGUAUAGAUCAGGAAGAACACCGGUGGCGAAAGCGCUCUGCUAGGCCGUAACUGACACUGAGGGACGAAAGCUAGGGGAGCGAAUGGGAUUAGAUACCCCAGUAGUC